rnacentral:rRNA from 1 species
UACGUAGGGGGCAAGCGUUGUUCGGAAUUACUGGGCGUAAAGGGCGCGUAGGCGGCACGGCAAGUCGGGAGUGAAAGGCCUGGGCUCAACCGAGGAACUGCUUUCGAGACUGCCGAGCUAGAGUGCGGAAGGGGCAACUGGAAUUCCCAGUGUAGCGGUGAAAUGCGUAGAUAUUGGGAAGAACACCUGAGGCGAAGGCGGGUUGCUGGGCCGACACUGACGCUGAGGAGCGAAAGCGUGGGGAGCGAACAGG